GAUGAACGCUGGCGGCGUGCCCUAAUACAUGCAAGUAGAACGCUGAAGCUUGGUGCUUGCACCGAGCGGAUGAGUUGCGAACGGGUGAGUAACGCGUAGGUAACCUGCCUGGUAGCGGGGGAUAACUAUUGGAAACGAUAGCUAAUACCGCAUAACAGUAGAUGUUGCAUGACAACUAUUUGAAAGGGGCAAUUGCUCCACCACCAGAUGGACCUGCGUUGUAUUAGCUAGUUGGUGAGGUAACGGCUCACCAAGGCGACGAUACAUAGCCGACCUGAGAGGGUGAUCGGCCACACUGGGACUGAGACACGGCCCAGACUCCUACGGGAGGCAGCAGUAGGGAAUCUUCGGCAAUGGACGGAAGUCUGACCGAGCAACGCCGCGUGAGUGAAGAUAGGUUUUCGGAUCGUAAAGCUCUGUUGUAAGAGAAGAACGAGUGUGAGAUGUGGAAAGUUCA
rnacentral:rRNA from 1 species